ensembl:rRNA 5S_rRNA 5S ribosomal RNA
GCUUACGGCCAUACCACUCUGAACACGCCCGAUCUUGGAAGCUAAGCAGGGUCGGGCCUGGUUAGUACUUGGAUGGGAGACCGCCUGGGAAUACCAGGUGCUGUAAGCU